rnacentral:rRNA from 1 species
UAGGGAAUCUUCGGCAAUGGACGAAAGUCUGACCGAGCAACGCCGCGUGAGUGAAGAAGGUUUUCGGAUCGUAAAACUCUGUUGGUAGAGAAGAACGUUGGUGAGAGUGGAAGGCUCAUCAAGUGACGGUAACUACCCAGAAAGGGACGGCUAACUACGUGCCAC